ACGAACGCUGGCGGCGUGCCUAAUACAUGCAAGUAGGACGCUGAAGGAGGAGCUUGCUUCUCUGGAUGAGUUGCGAACGGGUGAGUAACGCGUAGGUAACCUGCCUGGUAGCGGGGGAUAACUAUUGGAAACGAUAGCUAAUACCGCAUAAUAGUAGAUGUUGCAUGACAUUUGCUUAAAAGGUGCAAUUGCAUCACUACCAGAUGGACCUGCGUUGUAUUAGCUAGUUGGUGGGGUAACGGCUCACCAAGGCGACGAUACAUAGCCGACCUGAGAGGGUGAUCGGCCACACUGGGACUGAGACACGGCCCAGACUCCUACGGGAGGCAGCAGUAGGGAAUCUUCGGCAAUGGACGGAAGUCUGACCGAGCAACGCCGCGUGAGUGAAGAAGGUUUUCGGAUCGUAAAGCUCUGUUGUAAGAGAAGAACGAGUGUGAGAGUGGAAAGUUCACACUGUGACGGUAUCUUACCAGAAAGGGACGGCUAACUACGUG
rnacentral:rRNA from 1 species